rnacentral:rRNA from 1 species
GGAAGGGGUGUAUUUAUUAGAUAAAAAACCAAUGCCCUUCGGGGCUCCUUGGUGAUUCAUAAUAACUUAACGAAUCGCAUGGCCUUGUGCCGGCGAUGGUUCAUUCAAAUUUCUGCCCUAUCAACUUUCGAUUGUAGAGUAGUGGUCUACAAUGGUUUCAACGGGUAACGGGGAAUUAGGGUUCUAUUCCGAAGAGGGAGCCUGAGAAACGGCUACCACAUCCAAGGAAGGCAGCAGGCGCGCAAAUUACCCAAUCCCGACACGGGGAGGUAGUGACAAUAAAUACUGAUACAGGGCUCUUUUGGGUCUUGUAAUUGGAAUGAGUACAAUUUAAAUCCCUUAACGAGGAACAAUUGGAGGGCAAGUCUGGUGCCAGCAGCCGCGGUAAUUCCAGCUCCAAUAGCGUAUAUUAAAAUUGUUGCAGUUAAAAAGCUCGUAGUUGAACCUUGGGCCUGGUUGGUCGGUCCGCCUCACCGCGUGCACUGAUCCGACCGGGCCUUUCCUUCUGGGGAGCCGCAUGCCCUUCACUGGGUGUGUCGGGGAACCAGGACUUUUAC